GGGCUGUAAUCUGAGACCCUUUCUGGGGCCGCGCCCUCCCGACCCCUUCCCGGAAAUUUGCUUCCAGUGGGCAGGCACUCACAGGGACAGGCCACACGAUUUAUCCUGGUGAAGCAACCACACGUGAUGGCAAGUGGCCCCCAUACUGGACAGGGCAGCUCUAGAACCUUGGAGAAGGGACCAUGGUGACCGUGAGUCAGUGCUCUUUCUGCAGAAGGGGAAUCUGAGACCCCGAGAGACCCUGGGUGAGUGUUGACGUAAAUUUUCUAAGAAACAAGCCAACAUGAUGGGGAAAGACCGGGAAGUGAUGUCAGAAUCUGCCAGGAGGUGGGCUCUUUGGAGAAAGUCUUGAACAGAGACUUGGGCGGGUCCGCGCUGCCAGCGGCACAGGCAGCCGUGCGUGUGGGAAGCGUCUCCUCUUGCGGGCGGUCCGGGCCCUGAAGAGCUGAGGUUGGGUCGGCAGGGCAAGCCCGGGCAGCGGUCAGCAGGGGCCUGGUGCAUGGCUGCGACCAUCUAGGAGCCGGGAGGGUUGCAGCACGCAGGGCUGAGCCAUCCUGUGCCCAGUUUUGUUUUUUAAAUACAUGCAAUUAGAAAAACUGAGGCAUCACCUGGUGUUUAAGACCAAACAGCUUUGGAGGCCAGGCCGGCCACCGAGUGCCCCCACCCUGGGCAGCGCCCUCAUACCCACCGGCCCGCCCUUCUCAUGAGGGCCGAGACCUCCCGGAGAGGAAGGAGGAGACUGAUGUGGCGGGAACACCACAGGUGGGACCAUGACCGUCUAACUAGAACACCGCGUGGCGGCAUCCCGGAGCGGCGCGGGCGUCACACACGGCGGUUAUCACUCAGUGCCUUUUUAUUGCCAUUGGGUUUGUGACUGUUGAGAGUGACGGCUCGAGGAGCAACGGGCAGAUAAAAACCGUGGCUGGGAAGUUCUUGUGAAGAGAGGGCCCGGGCGAGGAGCCGGGAGGACUCAGAACCGGACGAAGGUGGCGUCGAUCUGCCGCACGGUGGGCAGGGCCAGCAUGAUCUUCCGCCUGUACUGG